AUUGAACGCUGGCGGCAUGCUUUACACAUGCAAGUCGAACGGUAACAGGCCGCAAGGUGCUGACGAGCGGCGAACGGGUGAGUAAUGCAUCGGAACGUGCCCAGUCGUGGGGGAUAACUACUCGAAAGAGUAGCUAAUACCGCAUACGAUCUAUGGAUGAAAGUGGGGGACCGUAAGGCCUCGCGCGAUUGGAGCGGCCGAUGUCAGAUUAGGUAGUUGGUGGGGUAAAGGCUCACCAAGCCAACGAUCUGUAGCUGGUCUGAGAGGACGACCAGCCACACUGGGACUGAGACACGGCCCAGACUCCUACGGGAGGCAGCAGUGGGGAAUUUUGGACAAUGGGCGCAAGCCUGAUCCAGCAAUGCCGCGUGCAGGAAGAAGGCCUUCGGGUUGUAAACUGCUUUUGUACGGAACGAAACGGCUCUGGUUAAUACCCGGGGCUAAUGACGGUACCGUAAGAAUAAGCACCGGCUAACUACGUG
rnacentral:rRNA from 1 species